UUGGCGUGGCGGGAUUUGUAAUUUUGCAGACAUGUCACAUCGUGCCUGCAACUGACCAGGUGGAGCUGGACCUAAACAUCGCUUCAACUGGGCUUUUGUUUAUCUUCAUCAUAACAGCGAUUCUUGUGCUUGGCACACUCAUUUGGCUCAAGCAGAUGGUGAUCAAUCCACACAUAGGUACUCCCAGCAGUAAAAGAUACUGUGGGUUCGACUUAUAGCCCAUUAAGAUGAUGACUUCAGCAGUGUUGCACAAGCACUGAUCAGAAAAUACCCCUGCCUCGCUGAGCCUGGACCACACAAAUGAUAUGGCUGGAUAAACAGCCUUAAAUUUAAGAUGGCCAAUUAUCGCACAAAGCUUCGAAAAGCUGGAUGUGAGGAUGUAGCAAUCCUGGUUGAAAAUGGUUGA